AUUGAACGCUGGCGGCAGGCCUAACACAUGCAAGUCGAACGGUAACAGGAAGAAGCUUGCUUCUUUGCUGACGAGUGGCGGACGGGUGAGUAAUGUCUGGGAAACUGCCUGAUGGAGGGGGACAACUACUGGAAACGGUAGCUAAUACCGCAUAACGUCGCAAGACCAAAGAGGGGGACCUUCGGGCCUCUUGCCAUCGGAUGUGCCCAGAUGGGAUUAGCUAGUAGGUGGGGUAACGGCUCACCUAGUCGACGAUCCCUAGCUGGUCUGAGAGGAUGACCAGCCACACUGGAACUGAGACACGGUCCAGACUCCUACGGGAGGCAGCAGUGGGGAAUAUUGCACAAUGGGCGCAAGCCUGAUGCAGCCAUGCCGCGUGUAUGAAGAAGGCCUUCGGGUUGUAAAGUACUUUCAGCGGGGAGGAAGGGAGUAAAGUUAAUACCUGUGCUCAUUGACGUUACCCGCAGAAGAAGCACCGGCUAACUCCGUG
rnacentral:rRNA from 1 species